GGGGUUGUGGCUCAGUGUUAGAGCGCUUGCCUAGCAAGCAUGAGGCACUGGGUUUGAUCCUCAGCACCACA
rnacentral:tRNA from 1 species